UGGGGAAUAUUGGACAAUGGGGGGAACCCUGAUCCAGCCAUGCCGCGUGUGUGAAGAAGGCCUUAUGGUUGUAAAGCACUUUAAGCGAGGAGGAGGGUACUGGUAUUAAUACUACCAGGUAUUGGACGUUACUCGCAGAAUAAGCACCGGCUAACUCUGUGCCAGCAGCCGCGGUAAUACAGAGGGUGCAAGCGUUAAUCGGAAUUACUGGGCGUAAAGCGCGCGUAGGUGGUUCGUUAAGUUGAAUGUGAAAGCCCCGGGCUCAACCUGGGAACUGCAUCCAAAACUGGCGAGCUAGAGUAGGGCAGAGGGUGGUGGAAUUUCCUGUGUAGCGGUGAAAUGCGUAGAUAUAGGAAGGAACACCAGUGGCGAAGGCGACCACCUGGGCUCAUACUGACACUGAGGUGCGAAAGCGUGGGGAGCAAACAGG
rnacentral:rRNA from 1 species